CUACAGGCCUAUGGUUGCCAUUUUGUAUCUGAAUGCUGUAGAUUAUCUCCCAUCCCUCAAAUCAGUUUGAUCCUUGUAUCCUGCAUUGCACUGGAACCUAGUGGACAGCUGUCAAAAUAUGCUAAAGUGCCAUCAUAGUGGCACUUGUAGGGGGCAUCUCAGAGAAGACACCAAGGACUGAGCAGGCAUGGAGACUGAACUACAGAUACUGGAAUUUCAUUUAGAAUCCAAUACUUUCAAUAUUGAAGUUAACAGCAAUUUUGACAUCAACUUCUGUGGGAGCAAGAUGGGGGCCCAGUAUCAACCUGGGCAUGUCUACCGAGAACAUUGUCAAAGAAGCAUAGAUAAAAUACUGGCUCCUGGAAAUGGUUGAAUCUGAUGUCUCUGACCUGUAGCUGUUUGGAAUUUUCUUUCUGUGUUUAAAUGUGAUAAGCAUUUGUUAAGGAAAUCCAAGUUGCUUCUUGAUGAUUCUUCAAUCUGCCAUAGAGGGUAGGCUCUUAAUACUCCUGUUUUUGCAACUGGAGCUAGAAGGAUAAAUUCACACACUAACAGUAAAUGAUU